GACGAACGCUGGCGGCGUGCUUAACACAUGCAAGUCGAACGGAAAGGCCCUGCUUUUGUGGGGUGCUCGAGUGGCGAACGGGUGAGUAACACGUGAGUAACCUGCCCUUGACUUUGGGAUAACUUCAGGAAACUGGGGCUAAUACCGGAUAGGAGCUCCUGCUGCAUGGUGGGGGUUGGAAAGUUUCGGCGGUUGGGGAUGGACUCGCGGCUUAUCAGCUUGUUGGUGGGGGAGUGGCUUACCAAGGCUUUGACGGGUAGCCGGCCGGGGAGGGUGACCGGCCACAUUGGGACUGAGAGACGGCCCAGACUCCUACGGGAGGCAGCAGUGGGGAAUAUUGCACAAUGGGCGGAAGCCUGAUGCAGCAACGCCGCGUGCGGGAUGACGGCCUUCGGGUUGUAAACCGCUUUCGCCUGUGACGAAGCGUGAGUGACGGUAAUGGGUAAAGAAGCACCGGCUAACUACGUG
rnacentral:rRNA from 1 species